GCGUAAGAACUUGCCCUUGGGAGGGGGACAACAACUGGAAACGGCUGCUAAUACCCCGUAAGCUGAGGAGCAAAAGGGAGGGAUCCGCCCAAGGAGGGGCUUGCGUCUGAUUAGCUAGUUGGUGAGGCAAUGGCUUACCAAGGCGACGAUCAGUAGCUGGUCUGAGAGGAUGAUCAGCCACACUGGGACUGAGACACGGCCCAGACUCCUACGGGAGGCAGCAGUGGGGAAUCUUCCGCAAUGGGCGAAAGCCUGACGGAGCAAUGCCGCGUGGAGGCAGAA
rnacentral:rRNA from 1 species